CCUACGGGUGGCAGCAGUGGGGGAUAUUGCACAAUGGGCGAAAGCCUGAUGCAGCGACGCCGCGUGAGGGAAGACGGUCUUCGGAUUGUAAACCUCUGUCUUUGGGGAAGAAGAUGACGGUACCCAAAGAGGAAGCUCCGGCUAACUACGUGCCAGCAGCCGCGGUAAUACGGGGGAUGCAAGCGUUAUCCGGAUUUAUUGGGUUUAAAGGGUGCGUAGGCUGUGAGGUAAGUCAGCGGUGAAAUGCCCCCGCUCAACGGGGUGAAGUGCCAUUGAUACUGCCUUGCUGGAAUGCGGAUGCCGUGGGAGGAAUGUGUGGUGUAGCGGUGAAAUGCAUAGAUAUCACACAGAACACCGAUUGCGAAGGCAUCUCACGAAUCCGCGAUUGACGCUGAUGCACGAAAGCGUGGGUAUCAAACAGGAUUAGAUACCCCUGUAGUC
rnacentral:rRNA from 1 species